AUUCUCAGUUAGCUUCAUCAUCCUAAUGAAGAGGCCAUUUGGAAUAGUUAAUGAGGAAUAGCUGUUCUGGAAUAGUCCCUUUUUAAGACAAACCCUCACUGUUUCUGUAAUUGCAUUCCAGGAAGCUAUUCUGUUCUGAAUCAGCAUGGGAUAGAGUGCCUAGAAGACGUUCAGACCAAGCUCAGCUAGCGCGACCCUGCUGGUUCUCCAUUCUGCAUCCGUGCAGCCACGUUCUAUUGAUGGCCUGUUGUGAUUUCAAUGGAACAUCAUGGGAUGUACCUGGCACGUCGGGCAGCACUGGAUGGAGGUGCCUUUAGCCCAAUGUACCUGGCAUGUACUGUUAACUCACUGUUCAGGUGCUUGGUGUCUAGCCUUCUCAUCCAGCUACAAAUCCUCUACGUGAAAUGAGUGAUUCCUUAGAUCUGUUUAUGAUUGAUUCUUUGCUUCACUGGUGUUGCUUCUUAAAAGGUAAACAAUAUUCAUGUGCUGCGAUCUAUAACUCAGAGAUGAAAUCAAACAGCAUCUCC
rnacentral:lncRNA from 1 species